GGCCUUGUGGUGCAGUGGUGAAGCAUUCGGCUGCUAACCGAAAGGUGGGUGGUUCAAACCCACCAGCCG
rfam:Loxodonta africana unplaced genomic scaffold scaffold_8, whole genome shotgun sequence.